rnacentral:lncRNA from 1 species
UUUAUUGAAGUAGAUAAACUUUAGCUUGAAUACAUUAACAUGUUCCUCUCCUAUUUAUAGGAUUAAGAGGGAGGAUUUUACUCAACAGAAUAGAGGAUUUUCCUCAACAGAAUAGAUAAGAUUUCCUCAUAUAAUGGGGAAAUCUUAUCUUCUAUCAUACCCCCGCAAGAUGGUGCUCCUGACAAGGAUACCAAUCUUGGAUCGGUAAGAAAGAGGCUUCGUGAGUAAGAUAAGUGUAGAUCGCUGCUGCUGUUGCUGCGAUUGCUGUUGCUGUGAUGGCACAGGCGUUCCCUUCAUUCUCCUUAAGUCUGCCGAAUGUUGACAGAUCAACGAAGACUACCGCGGUGAGGAAGAUGAGGAUUGACCACGGAGCCUCUUAGGAAUGCAACGGCGUUGGUCGCUGGCCGAAGGGUGAAGCUUCACUUUUCUCAGCGACGUUGGUCGCUUGCCGAAGGCAAGAGCGAAGCUUCGCUUUUCUCAACGACGUUGGUCGUGGUUGCGAUUACGACGGCUGCGACGGUAGAAAAGAAAUCUACAGCAAUGUUGCAGUGAUGCUACUACAGCAAAGGAGGAAAUUGCAACAGAGGAGGAAGCUGUAGUAGAAGAGGAAAGUGUAGCAGAAGAAGAAGGAAAAUAGCUACAACGACGAAGAAAGGUGGGGCAGUGCUGAUGAGCAGCACUAGAGAUGCCGUAGCGGAAGGGAACGGACGUUGGCGCAGAGUGGCAACACCAAUGAUGAAUUGGCAGCGAGAAGAGAGCUUGCUCUAGGCAAGUGGCUCUGAUACCAUGAUAGAAAUAAUAGAAGAUAAGAACAAUAUAAUAUAAGAAGCUUUAUUGAAGUAGA